UACGUAGGGUGCGAGCGUUGUCCGGAAUUACUGGGCGUAAAGAGCUCGUAGGUGGUUUGUCGCGUUGUCCGUGAAAACUCACAACUCAAUUGUGGGCGUGCGGGCGAUACGGGCAGACUGGAGUACUGCAGGGGAGACUGGAAUUCCUGGUGUAGCGGUGGAAUGCGCAGAUAUCGAGAGGAACACCUGCGGCGAAGGCGGGUUGCUGGGCUGAUACUGACGCUGAGGCGCGAAAGCCAGGGGAGCGAACAGG
rnacentral:rRNA from 1 species